AUGGCCGGAGGUCACCGCCGGACCCCAACAGGGUCACCCAGGGUGUCACUGACCCUCGUGUGCCGCGGCUCCGGAUUCGAUUCUGGAAAUGUUGGGAUGCAAUGGGUGCGGCAGAGCCCCGGGCAGGGCAUCGAAUACAUCGCGGGGAUCAGCACCAGCGGUUCCAGCACUGAGUACGCGCCAUCGGUCAGGGGUCGGUUCAGGAUCUCGAGGGACAACGGGCAGAGCUCRGUGACGCUGACCAUGAGUGACCUCAGGGAUGGCGAUUCCGGCUCCUAUUUCUGUGCCAAAUCUGCUGAUAGUGCUUAUCACGGUGCUGCUGCCUACGGUGACAAUGGCGGGGAUCGCCUCAAGGUCACAGUGUUGGCCACGCCCCCAUGGCUCUGUUCCCUCCUGUCCCCAAUCUCCAGCCCCUCCCCCACUCCCUGA